AAGUUGCCGUCACUGUUUGCUUCUAACAGUCUGUUUCUCACAGGCUUUAUUCAAAAUCUGUAAAAUAUUAAUAAAAUAGUAAUAACAAAUCCAAAGAAACAUUUCACUAAAGGUAAUACAAACAUCAAUGUUGUGUUAAUAAAAGGGGGCAUUAACGUAUGCAAUUUUGACUGGGACGCUUACAUUAUUACCUACUAGACAUGUCUCAACAGUAGGCCUAUAAAAAAUAUUUAAAUACAUCAAAAGAAUUAAAUCUACGUGCAAUUAGACGAAGCUAUUCUAAUCUUUGUCUUAAUAAUGUGAAAAAGAAAGUAAAAAUUAAAAACAAAAGCAAGUAAACCAACAAUCUAUAACAAAAUAAUAUCUAAUAAUAACAAAAAAUACAUUGAUGGCACAAAUC